UGAUCUAUCAGUCAAACUCAACCACCUAGCAUACUGAGAACUCUAAACUACUCUAACCCAUCCUCAGAAACCUAUUCACUACUAA
rnacentral:sRNA from 1 species